rnacentral:tRNA from 1 species
ACCUGGCUGGCUCAGUCAGUAGAGCGUGUGACUCUUGACCUCAGGGCCAUGAGUUCAAGCCCCAUGUUGGGUG